UAUCCAGCAGCCAAACCUCAGU
rnacentral:miRNA from 12 species